rnacentral:lncRNA from 1 species
AUGAAAUUCGGGUUGAAAUUCCCAAAAAUUUCAUGGAAUGGGGGGAGAGAAAAAAAAAAAAACCCAAAAAAAUUCCAUGGAAAAAAAAGUGGAAACACCCAAAAUUCCGGAUCCAAAAAUCAUGGAAUUUUCGUGGAAUUUUCGUGGAAUUUUCGUGGAAUUUUCAUGGAAUUUUCAUGGGAUUUUCAUGGAAUUUUCAUGGAAUUUUCAUGGGAUUUUCGUGGAAUUUUCAUGGAAUUUUCAUGGGAUUUUCAUGGGAUUUUCGUGGGAUUUUCGUGGAAUUUUCAUGGAAUUUUCAUGGAAUUUUUAUGGAAUUUUCAUGGGAUUUUUGUGGAAUUUUCAUGGGAUUUUCAUGGAAUUUUCAUGGGAUUUUCAUGGAAUUUUCAUGGAAUUUUCAUGGAAUUUUCGUGGGAUUUUCAUGGAAUUUUUGUGGGAUUUUCAUGGAAUUUUCAUGGGAUUUUCAUGGAAUUUUCAUGGAAUUUUAGUGGGAUUUUCAUGGAAUUUUCAUGGAAUUUUUAUGGAAUUUUCGUGGGAUUUUCAUGGAAUUUUCAUGGGAUUUUUAUGGGAUUUUCAUGGGAUUUUAAUGGAAUUUUCAUGGAAUUUUCAUGGGAUUUUUAUGGAAUUUUCAUGGGAUUUUCAUGGAAUUUUCAUGGAAUUUUCAUGGGAUUUUCAUGGAAUUUUCAUGGAAUUUUCAUGGGAUUUUCAUGGAAUUUUCAUGGGAUUUUCAUGGGAUUUUCAUGGGACUUUUCAUGGAAUUUUCAUGGAAUUUUCAUGGAAUUUUCAUGGGAUUUUUGUGGAAUUUUCAUGGAAUUUUCAUGGGAUUUUUUUGGAAUUUUCAUGGAAUUUUCAUGGAAUUUUCAUGGGAUUUUCGUGGAAUUUUCAUGGAAUUUUGAUGGAAUUUUCAUGGGAUUUUCAUGGGAUUUUCAUGGAAUUUUCAUGGGAUUUUCAUGGAAUUUUCAUGGAAUUUUCAUGGAAUUUUCAUGGAAUUUUCAUGGAAUUUUCAUGGGAUUUUCAUGGAAUUUUCAUGGAAUUUUAGUGGGAUUUUCAUGGAAUUUUCAUGGGAUUUUCAUGGAAUUUUCAUGGAAUUUUCAUGGGAUUUUCGUGGGAUUUUCAUGGGAUUUUCAUGGAAUUUUCAUGGAAUUUUUGUGGAAUUUUCAUGGAAUUUUCAUGGAAUUUUCAUGGGAUUUUAGUGGAAUUUUUGUGGGAUUUUCAUGGAAUUUUCAUGGGAUUUUUGUGGAAUUUUCAUGGAAUUUUCAUGGGAUUUUCAUGGAAUUUUCAUGGAAUUUUCAUGGAAUUUUCGUGGAAUUUUCAUGGGAUUUUAGUGGAAUUUUCAUGGAAUUUUCAUGGAAUUUUCAUGGAAUUUUCAUGGAAUUGUUGCCUUAUUCCCAAUCCUCCCAAGGAAUUCCCGACUCCCCCAAAUUUUGGGAUCGAGGUCAUUUUUUUGGGGGGAUGGGGGAGGGGCUGAAUCUCCUUCCUUCCCACCAAGAUUUGGGAUUUUUUUCCCAAAAAAAAAUCCAGGAAUUCCAUUAA